CAGAUCAGGGCGGGGCUUUCGUUGGCUGACCCACAUGGGGCUGGAAAUAAGGUGAGUUUUCAUCUUUUCUAAGGGGGUUAAGGGAGGCAAGCCACCUGAAUGGUGGUUUUAACACUAUAGGGUCAGGAAUACAUAUUUGGUUCCUGACUCUAUAGUGUAAAUAUUUGGUUUACAUAUUUGGUUCCACUUAAAAACAAAAAGAAUGAAUAUUUGUUAAAGUUACAUAUAAGGAAAAGGACUAGUUUUCCUUCUGUAUAUCCUAGAGGUUGACAAAUAUUGGCAAAGCACAGAUCUUUAGUCACGCUUAGUCAAGUUUUUUUUUUUUAUCAACUCUUGUCAUUGGUCAUCAAGUUCUUACUCACCCACUCAGCGUGGCGCCACUUCCAGCAGUGUAAUGUCGUUGACUGUUUGUGUGGACUUACAAUGUGCUGGGAAUGCACGCCAGUGAUUUCUGUCAGCAGCCAUCUUGGAAACACUAAGAUGGCGGUACUAUGAAAGAAGACCC